rnacentral:rRNA from 1 species
UACGGAGGGUGCAAACGUUGCUCGGAAUCAUUGGGCGUAAAGCGCACGUAGGCGGCCCGCUAAGUCGGAUGUGAAAUCCCUCGGCUCAACCGAGGACGUGCAUUCGAUACUGGCAGGCUUGAAUAUGGAAGAGGGUCGCGGAAUUCCCGGUGUAGAGGUGAAAUUCGUAGAUAUCGGGAGGAACACCAGUGGCGAAGGCGGCGACCUGGGCCAAUAUUGACGCUGAGGUGCGAAAGCGUGGGGAGCAAACAGG